AACAAUCCCUGUUUUCACUGAUGAAGGCUUGCUGACCUCUUGCUGGCCUCCAGUUCCUUAAUUACUGUCUAUGGAAUUUCAGUGAAAGAAAAAAAUACAGAGAAUCUCUGCAAAGCCAGGACGAAGAGUGACCCUCAAACACCACCACUAGAGUGGAGGCUGUGUCUAUAGGAAAUUUUCAGUGCUACAAAAGAACAUAAAUAAGAACUGGAAAGAGAAAUGCUGGUCCAGAAGUGGUGGCUUUAUGAAGUACUGUAGUGUGAAUUUAAAGUUCUCUGCCUAGGCUGAGCUGUGAUCUCCCUUCCCAAGAAACAGACUCUGAGAUGCUCAAACUCUACUAUACAUGGACUCAAAAGUCUUUAACACUCUCUCAACUGAAUCUUAUAUUUGGCAAGACUAAGAAGAUCCAGGGAGAUUUCCUAUACUUUGGCACAGGCUGUACUAUUAAUGAAUGGAGUACUCCACUGGUGCUGGAAAUCCUGCUCUCGACUUCUUGGAAAACCAAGGGUGAAACAGCAAUACACGAAACAAAAUUCACAUCAGAGAAAAAAAGGAAGAAUGAGAACCCUUCAGUGAAGGCUGUAGUCACUUAAAUUACAUUCUUAUAGUACCUUCAAACAAUCAGGCUGUUAAUGUUAACAUCCAAAGCAUGAGGAAGGAAACACCAGCAUUGGGGAAGGGGCACAAGUGGUAACCAAUGAGAGGACAAUUAAAAUUUUCUGUUGCACCACAAGGAAAGUUUAUUCAGCCUGUGUCUGCCAAAUAGGGCAGUGAAACACAUGGCUUUUGAAAUUCCUAAUUCUUGAACUGAGCAAAGCUUUGUUCUAAUUUAAUAGGCUUGGGGGCAGGGAAACCACAUUAUGGAUUAUAGCAUCUCCUGCUGGCUGAUGCAUGGAGAACAGGAAAAAGCUGGCAACACCCCCACACCCUCAAGAUGAUCCUCUUCCCUUGAAGGCAAGCAGUUUCACAGCUUCUGUUAAAAGCAACCAACAAAAACAAGGAGCGGGGGCAAACGUCUUGAGAAUUAUCUACAGUGAUUGAAUAGAGAUCCCCCACUGAAGUUAGGAGAAAUUUAGUUCAAAUCCUACCAGAAACAGCAGAGAGAGGCAACCAAGCUGUUGGCUCGAAGUGCAAAGAUGGCUUAGGAAAACAACUCUACAGAAAAGGUGCCAAAUCAUUCCAUUAGGGCAGAAAUACUGAAUCAUGUUCAAUCCUCAAGAGAUACACACAGCUUUCAGUAAUUCAACACAAGUGUAAAACACUAUCAAUAGAUUUAAGAGAGAAAUUCAUUAUCCUUCUGAGAUUUGACCAUGGUAAAUGAGAGUUUUGAGGGGCUUAUGCUACAGGUACCCUAGAGAAAAGCCUUAAGAGAAGGGAAGUUCAAGCUUAUAAAUACUAAUAAGGAAAGAUCAGACAUCUUUCAGUUGGCUAAACAAUCAGUUCAGGAGAGUCAGGAUCCUUCCUUCUCUAUUCUUUACAAAUUUUUGGUAUAACACAACAGAGUAUAAGGCAACAUCAGUUCCCCUCUGCUCCAAUGUAACUAAAGAUGGGCAUAUCUUUUUGAACACAAACAACAAAAUCUUUCUCUGCCACCAAAUAUGUUAAACAUCUCAUAAAAUGACAUUGCAUUCCUUUUUUUCAUUUAGGAAGGAGGAGCUAACUGGCUGCUGCCGUUAGCAGGAAAUUCCAUUGACAAUAAAAUAAAUAAAUCAACCAAUCGAAUCCAAAGCCUAUGAUUCAAUUAUAUGGGUUACAAAGAGCUUGAAUUUGACAGUCAAAUGUGUUCUUCUCUAAGAUUUAUCUGUGAACUUCCAGUUAGAGAACUGAAGUGGAAUAAACUACUCAGUGAAAAUGAAGAUAUCUGGAAGAAAAAAUUAAUUAAUUCAGUAUGGCACAACAUAAAGACUGUCUGGUGCCCAUAAAAACAACAGAAGUUAAACAGCUCAGAAGCAAAAAAAAAAAAAAAAAGGAAAGCUGCCUUACUGCUUAUGGAUCUGACAAAAGCCACAAACUCUGGGCUGUGAGUUUGCAAAUGCAGAGACAGAGUGUUUGAAGGCAGCAGGCAGCUAGGACUUAGCCAGAUCCUCAUCUAGAAUGUAUCAACAAGGGCUAGAAAAGCCUGAGAAACUCUACUGAUGAAUCAACAACUUCCCUCUAAAUGACCAAAAAGCUAUUUUCUGUGGAUUUUGAAACAAGGGGGAUUUCUGCCUGGGACAACUUGUGUUUCAAAAGCUCAGUGACAAAUGGGUGAGUUGUUUUAUAAAAAAAAGAGAGAUUAUACAAUAAGACUGUUGAAGUCUAUGAUUAUGAAGAUUUAAAAUGCAAGUUAAAGAUUCUCUGCAGACAGAACAGAGCAUCACUAGGCACUGAUACAUUUGCUAUUAAGGAAAUUGCCAGGUAAAUCAGGAUAUUUCAGUACUUCAAUGAAAGUAUUUAAAUAUUAAAUGACACUGGGGAGCUAUAUCACAAUUACAGGUACUUACAU